AACGAACGCUGGCGGCAUGCCUAACACAUGCAAGUCGAACGAGACCUUCGGGUCUAGUGGCGCACGGGUGCGUAACGCGUGGGAACCUGCCCUUAGGUUCGGAAUAACUCCCCGCAAGGGGUGCUAAUAUCGGAUAAUGUCUUCGGACCAAAGAUUUAUCGCUUUUGGAUGGGCCCGCGUUGGAUUAGCUAGUUGGUAGGGUAAAAGCCUACCAAGGCGACGAUCCAUAGCUGGUCUGAGAGGAUGAUCAGCCACACUGGGACUGAGACACGGCCCAGACUCCUGCGGGAGGCAGCAGUGGGGAAUAUUUGACAAUGGGCGAAAGCCUGAUCCAGCAAUGCCGCGUGAGUGAUGAAGGCCUUAGGGUUGUAAAGCUCUUUUACCCGGGAUGAUAAUGACAGUACCGGGAGAAUAAGCUCCGGCUAACUCCGUG
rnacentral:rRNA from 1 species